UACGUAGGGUGCAAGCGUUGUCCGGAAUUAUUGGGCGUAAAGAGCUCGUAGGCGGUCUGUCGCGUCGGAUGUGAAAAUCCAGGGCUCAACCCUGGACCUGCAUUCGAUACGGGCAGACUAGAGUUCGGCAGGGGAGACUGGAAUUCCUGGUGUAGCGGUGAAAUGCGCAGAUAUCAGGAGGAACACCGGUGGCGAAGGCGGGUCCCUGGGCCGAUACUGACGCUGAGGAGCGAAAGCGUGGGGAGCGAACAGG
rnacentral:rRNA from 1 species